GGUGAACGCUGGCGGUAGGCCUAACACAUGCAAGUCGAACGGCAGCACAGGAGAGCUUGCUCUCUGGGUGGCGAGUGGCGGACGGGUGAGGAAUACAUCGGAAUCUACCUUUUCGUGGGGGAUAACGUAGGGAAACUUACGCUAAUACCGCAUACGACCUACGGGUGAAAGUGGGGGACCGCAAGGCCUCACGCGAUUAGAUGAGCCGAUGUUCGAUUAGCUAGUUGGCGGGGUAAUGGCCCACCAAGGCGACGAUCGGUAGCUGGUCUGAGAGGAUGAUCAGCCACACUGGAACUGAGACACGGUCCAGACUCCUACGGGAGGCAGCAGUGGGGAAUAUUGGACAAUGGGCGCAAGCCUGAUCCAGCCAUACCGCGUGGGUGAAGAAGGCCUUCGGGUUGUAAAGCCCUUUUGUUGGGAAAGAAAUCCUGUCGAUUAAUACUCGGUGGGGAUGACGGUACCCAAAGAAUAAGCACCGGCUAACUUCGUGCCAGCCGCCGCGGUAAAAC
rnacentral:rRNA from 1 species